rnacentral:rRNA from 1 species
GACGAACGCUGGCGGCGUGCUUAACACAUGCAAGUCGAACGGUGACGACAGGAGCUUGCUUCUGUUUGAUCAGUGGCGAACGGGUGAGUAACACGUGAGCAACCUGCCCCAGACUCUGGGAUAACCACGGGAAACCGGAGCUAAUACCGGAUAUGACACGGAGAGGCAUCCCUACCGUGUGGAAAGUGUUCCGGUCGGGGAUGGGCUCGCGGCCUAUCAGCUUGUUGGUGAGGUAGUUGCUCACCAAGGCGACGACGGGUAGCCGGCCGGCGGGGGCGACCGGCCACACGGGGACGGAGACACGGCCCAGACUCCUACGGGAGGCAGCAGUGGGGAAUAUUGCACAAUGGGCGAAAGCCUGAUGCAGCGACGCCGCGUGGGGGAUGACGGCCUUCGGGUUGUAAACCUCUUCCAGCAGGGAAGAAGCGCAAGUGACGGUACCUGCAGAAGAAGCACCGGCUAACUACGUGCCAGCAGCCGCGGUAAAAC